CCUACGAUGUUCCACUCUACGCUCUAGGGUUGGGCGAAUGAAGCCCCACGAGGCUUUGGAAGGUUCUUCCUGAUUGUAUCGUAAGUGUUUCGAAGCGUCAAAGCAUUGAAUACAAAACAGUGACAUCUGGUGGUUAGCAGACAUAACGGCAGCUCUCAUUAGAGAUUAAACAAUCACAGACGAAGCCACAUGCCGACCAAAUGGCCCUUCUCUGACACUGGUAAAACAGAGAGGAGAGACAACGUGUUCUGUUCCCUUUUGAGUAAAAACUAUUAGGCCUACAGUCAUUGGAAUACACAUUAUAGUUUUGAUAUGCUUCUAAUGAUUCGAAUUGAAAAUGUAAUGUGCUUGGUUUUAAAUAAUGCUAUGUUUCCGUGAAAAUCUCAAAAUGGCCUUGGGAGGGUGGUAGCGUGUUCGUAUACCGCACGCGCACGCCCGGG